UACGUAGGGGGCAAGCGUUGUCCGGAAUCAUUGGGCGUAAAGCGCGCGUAGGCGGCCCUGUAAGUCCGCUGUAAAAGUCAAAGGCUCAACCUUUGAAAGCCGGUGGAUACUGCAGGGCUAGAGUCCGGAAGAGGCGAGUGGAAUUCCUGGUGUAGCGGUGGAAUGCGCAGAUAUCAGGAGGAACACCAAUAGCGAAGGCAGCUCGCUGGGACGGCACUGACGCUGAGACGCGAAAGCGUGGGGAGCGAACAGG
rnacentral:rRNA from 1 species